GUGCUGUCGCGCUUCUGGGUCAAAUCUGAGGCAGGUCCUGUUUCCGUGAGAGUUUUCGGUUUUGCUGAGGGUGGUAUUGUAAAGGCCUGCCUUCCCCACAUGAAUUCUCAGUAACUUUGAAGAGCAAAGUGAGAAGAGGGCAGUGUUACACUGGGAGAAACCACUUGGAGAUGUGCCAGAUUUCCCCACGUCUCCUGGUAUUAGUUCCUGGUUUGUUCCUUAAUGUGAAUGAAAACCAUUUUGAGCAGACGGAAGAGCAAUACCGGAAGGCUGGGAUUCUGAGUUUCACCUAGAACGGAGAAGCCAGGACUUGGGAUUUUCCCCUCAGUCACCAUGCUGUGCUGAUGUGAGGAGCUCUGCUCUUUUGUAUCUUCAGAAGUCUGCCAGCCCACCCUGCAAAUUUGGAUUUGCCAGCCUUCAUACUCAGGUUAUCAGAUGUCCUCUUGGUGCAAUCCUGCCCUGGGAGCUUAUGUGCCAGCUAAUUGCUUCUGAAUUCUGUGCUCACGGUUUCCUUCACCCAUCUGGAGCAUCUUGUGGGAGUACACAAACAAAGACCCUGGCUUCCCAGCAAGACUGUCAACUCACCCUCUGGUGAGAGGUCACAAACUGGCCACCCGAGGGUGAAUCUGGCUCCCAGAUGCCUUUCAUUUACCGAGUGUAGUGUUUGAGCUUGCUCAGCCAUAUUAUUGCUUUGAAAUCUGGCUACUCAUGAAAAUCAAUUGGGAAGCUUUUAAUAUUCAUGCCUGAGACCUGUACCGACUGAAUCAGUCGGAAAUAGGACCUGGCUCUCUGAAUAUGUUUCAAGCUCUCCAAGCGAUUUUCAUGCUAACCACAGUUGAGGAGCACUGCAAUCUAUAUUUAGUGACUGAAAGCAUCGUCAAGAAGGAGCUUUGAACUAAGCAACAGGGUAAAACUGGGAAAUCUAGAGAUGGAGAAAGGAGCAGAAGCCACCCUGGGCCAGACUAAUAAUGGGUGAAUAACCCCAUGGAUCAUAUGGAAGAGUCAAAGGGCAAAGCCGGGUGUUGUUCAGGCCAGGUACUCAGAGGCAACCUUUUAAAGGUAAGAACAGUCAACAAAUCUAGAAUUUCUCUGAGGGCAGCUUAUAGUGCCAAGGUAAAUAUGGUCAAAUCUCUACCAUUUGGAGGCAGCACCCAGAGGGAAAGAUCCCAGGGCCAAGCAAAAUAGAGUAGGAUGUUUAUUGAAGGUGACCAAAAGGAUAGAAAACCAGAAUUAGGGAGCAGAGACAAGAUAAGAAUCCAAAGGGUAAGAAAAAAGCCCCAAAAGGCAAGGAAGCCCCAAGUGACUCCACAAAGUAGUUCGGGACUGAGGCACGAAUGAUGCGAGUUUGUUAGUGCCCUCCAUUACCAAGUCCUUGUGGGUGUUCUAGGAAUUGUUGCAGGUUAAAACAGCACAAUUCAUGAAAACCACCUCGAAGCAGAAUCAAGGCAACAGAUGUGGUGCAGUGGGUCAGUAUCAGCAGCAACAAAGAUGAACACAACUUGUGUUCCCGUCAGGGGCCUUGGUCUUCUGAAGGGGCAGUGAGACUUGUGUAUUGGGUGUUAGGAGUGGCAGUUAAUCAGGACCACAUAGCAUAAGAGACAAGUAUUUGACUUAGUGCAUAAUGGAGCUAAAUGGUGCAUCAGAAGGACAAUCAUUCCAUUGGAAUCACUGUACCCAGGAAGACUUUGGCAACACCAUGGAGUUCUUUCUGUGAAGAAUAAAUGGGACCUGAGUGAUUAGUUAGUAUUGUUAUUGUUAUGUGGCCGUGUUAGUUAUCUUCUGCAGCCAAAUAAAUUACCCUAAAACUUUGCAA